rnacentral:rRNA from 2 species
AAAUUGAAGAGUUUGAUCAUGGCUCAGAUUGAACGCUGGCGGCAGGCCUAACACAUGCAAGUCGAACGGUAACAGGAAGCAGCUUGCUGCUUUGCUGACGAGUGGCGGACGGGUGAGUAAUGUCUGGGAAACUGCCUGAUGGAGGGGGAUAACUACUGGAAACGGUGGCUAAUACCGCAUAAUGUCGCAAGACCAAAGAGGGGGACCUUCGGGCCUCUUGCCAUCAGAUGUGCCCAGAUGGGAUUAGCUUGUUGGUGAGGUAACGGCUCACCAAGGCGACGAUCCCUAGCUGGUCUGAGAGGAUGACCAGCCACACUGGAACUGAGACACGGUCCAGACUCCUACGGGAGGCAGCAGUGGGGAAUAUUGCACAAUGGGCGCAAGCCUGAUGCAGCCAUGCCGCGUGUAUGAAGAAGGCCUUCGGGUUGUAAAGUACUUUCAGCGGGGAGGAAGGUGUUGCGGUUAAUAACCGCAGCAAUUGACGUUACCCGCAGAAGAAGCACCGGCUAACUCCGUGCCAGCAGCCGCGGUAAUACGGAGGGUGCAAGCGUUAAUCGGAAUUACUGGGCGUAAAGCGCACGCAGGCGGUCUGUCAAGUCGGAUGUGAAAUCCCCGGGCUCAACCUGGGAACUGCAUUCGAAACUGGCAGGCUUGAGUCUUGUAGAGGGGGGUAGAAUUCCAGGUGUAGCGGUGAAAUGCGUAGAGAUCUGGAGGAAUACCGGUGGCGAAGGCGGCCCCCUGGACAAAGACUGACGCUCAGGUGCGAAAGCGUGGGGAGCAAACAGGAUUAGAUACCCUGGUAGUCCACGCCGUAAACGAUGUCUACUUGGAGGUUGUGCCCUUGAGGCGUGGCUUCCGGAGCUAACGCGUUAAGUAGACCGCCUGGGGAGUACGGCCGCAAGGUUAAAACUCAAAUGAAUUGACGGGGGCCCGCACAAGCGGUGGAGCAUGUGGUUUAAUUCGAUGCAACGCGAAGAACC